UACGAAGGGGGCGAGCGUUGUUCGGAUUUACUGGGCGUAAAGGGCGCGCAGGCGGCUCAUUUUGUCAGGCGUGAAAGCCCCGGGCUUAACCUGGGAACUGCGUUUGAUACGGAUGGGCUAGAGUUCGGGAGAGGAGAGUGGAAUUCCCAGUGUAGAGGUGAAAUUCGUAGAUAUUGGGAAGAACACCGGUGGCGAGGGUGGCUCUCUGGACCGAGACUGACGCUGAGGCGCGAAAGCGUGGGGAGCAAACAGG
rnacentral:rRNA from 1 species